rnacentral:rRNA from 1 species
UACGAAGGGGGCUAGCGUUGUUCGGAUUUACUGGGCGUAAAGCGCACGUAGGCGGGUCGUUAAGUCAGGGGUGAAAUCCCGGAACUCAACUCCGGAACUGCCUUUGAUACUGGCGACCUUGAGGCUGGAAGAGGUUAGUGGAAUUCCCAGUGUAGAGGUGAAAUUCGUAGAUAUUGGGAAGAACACCAGUGGCGAAGGCGGCUAACUGGUCCAGAUCUGACGCUGAGGUGCGAAAGCGUGGGGAGCAAACAGG